GACAGAGGGUGCAAACGUUGUUCGGAAUUACUGGGCGUAAAGCGCGUGUAGGCGGCUAUGCAAGUCGGGUGUGAAAGCCCUCGGCUCAACCGGGGAAGUGCACCCGAAACUGCAAAGCUAGAGUCUCGGAGAGGAUCGUGGAAUUCUCGGUGUAGAGGUGAAAUUCGUAGAUAUUGGGAAGAACACCAGUGGCGAAGGCGGCUCACUGGCCCGCAACUGACGCUGAGGCGCGAAAGCGUGGGGAGCAAACAGG
rnacentral:rRNA from 1 species